rnacentral:rRNA from 1 species
AACGAACGCUGGCGGCAUGCCUAACACAUGCCAGUCGAACGAGACCUUCGGGUCUAGUGGCGCACGGGUGCGUAACGCGUGGGAACCUGCCCUUAGGUUCGGAAUAACUCCCCGAAAGGGGUGCUAAUACCGGAUAAUGUCUUCGGACCAAAGAUUUAUCGCCUUUGGAUGGGCCCGCGUUGGAUUAGCUAGUUGGUAGGGUAAAAGCCUACCAAGGCGACGAUCCAUAGCUGGUCUGAGAGGAUGAUCAGCCACACUGGGACUGAGACACGGCCCAGACUCCUACGGGAGGCAGCAGUGGGGAAUAUUGGACAAUGGGCGAAAGCCUGAUCCAGCAAUGCCGCGUGAGUGAUGAAGGCCUUAGGGUUGUAAAGCUCUUUUACCCGGGAUGAUAAUGACAGUACCGGGAGAAUAAGCUCCGGCUAACUCCAUG